CCCGCUGAAUUUAAGCAUCUAACGGAACGAAGGAAGAGAAACUAACGAGGAUUUCCCUAGUAACAGUGAGUGGACGGGAA
rnacentral:ncRNA from 1 species